AAAAAUAAAAAAAUUAAGAAAAGAAAUUAAAAUAGGGUCAUCUUCUUCACCACAACCCACUCCAACGCACCGCACCCCACCGCCCAGCCCAAAACCACCGUCGUCGACGGCUCAACUGCUUGAAGCAGCAUCCCAAGCCCUAGCAAAAAAUGGGCGACAGUGUUUCUAUGGACCAAAAACCAUGUUUCUGUCGACCGAAAACCAGUGUUUUUCGGCAACCAUUGAAGCCGAUUUCACAUGUAUUCUCAUCGAAUGUUUUGCGUUUAACACAAAAUGAAUGGGAAAAACUUUACUGGUCCAAUUUGUGAGUGCUUAUACAGAUUUUUUCCUGUAUCACCGAAUGAAUGGGGAAAACUUUAUUGGUUCGGUCUAUUACAUUUUAUUUCUGAUUUAAACCAUUUCUUGAUGAUUUGGGGCCAUGGAAUUGCUCGUCUAGGGGAGCAUUAACAGCC
rnacentral:lncRNA from 1 species